rnacentral:rRNA from 1 species
UACGUAGGUGGCAAGCGUUGUCCGGAAUUAUUGGGCGUAAAGCGUACGCAGGCGGCUUGUCAAGUCGAGUGUGAAAUCCCCGGGCUUAACCUGGGAACUGCGUUUGUGACUGGAAGCUAGAGUAUGGCAGAGGGGGGUGGAAUUCCACGUGUAGCAGUGAAAUGCGUAGAGAUGUGGAGGAACACCGAUGGCGAAGGCAGCCCCCUGGGCCAAUACUGACGCUCAUGCACGAAAGCGUGGGGAGCAAACAGG